UGGCUCUCAACCUUCGACCUCUCCCGAGUCCGUACAGGAGUUGCAGUGAUGGGAAAAGACUGUAACUGCCAAUUGUCGGAGAAAAAGAGAACGACGGAUCUUCAUCUCAGUCAGCUGGAUGUAACGGAGAACGUUGGUGUCUGGAAUACAAAGACAGAAAAAGGCUGCUUUAUCAAAAAAAAACAUUCUUUAUUAUCUUCUGUUCAAGCAGGAAGCAUACGAUUUCCAUCCAAUUGGAAUUUGCUGACAUCCAGAAAAAUGAUGUAAUGAUCAUCAUGUACCUGCCAGACUGUUGUAACAUUCCAGCUCGGCGUUCUCCAUGGCACCUUUCUGCUCGUCUGUCAGGCUGUCUGGCUUGGUUAUAGUAGGCAGCACAGAGGAAGGAGACUUAGAGCUGGCAUCAGGGUCUCCCAGCACCCGGCACAACCCCUUCAUCUCUAAUAAAGCGCGG